UUUAUGGUUAGGGUUAGGGAAUUCAGACUGUCUUCCAAGAAGAGAAAUCUGGUGUUAUUGAUUGCUGUAGCAGCUGGGGACCCCAGUCGAAAUAUGGUGUGACUUUGUAAGUCUAAAGUUGUUGCCUGAGAAAAAAAUUUCUGGGGUGCAUACCUCUACCCAAGAGGUUCUACAGGAGGUUUGAGACUAGCCCUGGUUCCACAUACCUGUAGGGUGCUGGUUAGCUGAAGAAGUCUGUAGUGUGCAUGUGUAAGAGAUAUAGGGACCUGGAACAGGGCAGCUGUAGGGAGAGGCCUUGUUCCAGGAACAGGCUAUUUGGGACACCUGCUGUCUGCCUAAAUCUAAGACUUGUCCCACUCAAAUAGUACAUAUUCCGCCUGAAGGAAGAGCCAGAGGAAACUGCAAUUCCUUGCCAUUUUGGGGCUCCUUAGACUUGCUGGGUAAUCCUCCAAUAAAACAGCUGGGAGUACUGAUUGCUGUGCAAAUCAGCAUCCCCAUUGCGCAAUCAGUCCAAAUGUGGAAAUCUGCCACCAUGGAACGAUUUUCAGGGGUGUGCCCCCUCCUUUCAGAAAGUCAUGCACUUUGUUGUUGAUAGUCCAAACUACACUGGCUUGUAGGGCCCUGGACACACAAGACUGGUUGAUCACUGCAUACUGCACACACAUGUCCUACACGGUUUGAUUUAGCCAGGGUUAGGGUUAAUCUGUACAACAAAAACUUCAGGAGAACCCUGGUCUCAGGAGCAGGCUGUUGGGAGUAUGUGGAGUCUACGUAUUUCCAAGCCUGAACCAACACAAAUGUACCUAUUCCCUUUGAAGGCUGAGCUGGAGGACAGUGUACCUCCUUGCCAGGGUGCAGCUGGAUUGACUGGCCUUACCUUCCUAAGAGACAUCUGGGAGCCUUGGGUGCUGAGAAGCCGGGAAUUUAAGCAGGCAGCCAGUCCAAAUUGGGACUGAUUUUCAUGAGCUUAAAGCUGCUGCCACAGAAAUAUUUGCAGGGUUUUGAUCCCAAUGGUCAGGUGAGUAGGCAGAUGGUUUUGGACCUGCUGGCACUUCCACAGGCCUGGAGGGCCCCAGCUGCCCAAGGCAGGCUGAUGAAGUGCAUACUGCAUAUAUACAAACUAUAGAGGUCCAGGUAGCAACCUGGAACAGGGGAAGUAUCUUGAAAAGCUGGGUCUCGGAAGUGGGCUGUUGGGGGUACAAGACACCUGCCUAUUCUAAGUCCUGCCCUACAAAAAAAUGUAUAUUCUCUCUAAAGAUACAGCUGGUGGAGGUUGGACUGCCUUGUCAGGACUCAGCCUGUUGGGCUACAGGGGUAUCCCUCACUAAGACACCUGGGAGCUUUAAUUACUGGUUAAGACCUGGACCAGGACUUAGCUUGGACCUCAGAAAGAUUUUUGGGUGGUGAUCUCCCCCUGGCCGGAGGCUAUGCAGAUAGUUUGGAACCAACCAAAGCUCCACAGGCUUGGAGGACACCCACUGCACCACCACUCCCCUGGUUCAAGGCAAAUGUCUGGAGAGGCUGGUUCACAGGAAUGGGUUACCGGGGUACAUGACAUCUGGCUAUUUCCAGCACUAAUGUACAUAAAUAUGUAUAAACCCAUUGAAGAUGGAGCUGGAGGAAACUGAACCCUUGCAAGGACUAAUUCCAGCAUGCUGAUCAUGGUACCUUCAAUAAGACACCUGGGAGCCUUCAUUGCUGCAGAAGCUCAGGACUUCAGCAAAGAGUAACCUGGAUGGGGAGAACCAUGCUGCAGAGCGAACAGUGGAGGAUGUUUUCCUCCGAAAGUUCAUGCUGGGCCCCUUCCCAGGGUGUCUGGUCGACCAGCUGAUCCUAAAGCGCUGGGCUAACCAGUUGGAGAUCUGUGUCCUGGUCUUGAGGCAGCUGCCCGCACACAAGUUCUACUUCCUGGUGGGCUACAGUGAGACUCUGCUGUCCCACUUUUACAAAUGUCCCGUCCGUCUGCACCUCCAGACUGUGCCCUCCAAGGUCGUGUAUCAGUACAUCUAAGGCAGUCCCCUUUUCUGCAUCAGGCUGUAGCCUACGAAGGACAGAACCGUGUGGGAAAGGAGUGAAGUAGAAAUGGGGAACUACGUCCCCUCACUGUCUCGAGGAUUCCUUUUCAAAGCUGCUGUUGAAUAAAUAGACCUUCUGUGUUGUC